rnacentral:rRNA from 1 species
GACGAACGCUGGCGGCGUGCUUAACACAUGCAAGUCGAACGGAAAGGCCCUGCUUUUGUGGGGUGCUCGAGUGGCGAACGGGUGAGUAACACGUGAGUAACCUGCCCUUGACUUUGGGAUAACUUCAGGAAACUGGGGCUAAUACCGGAUAGGAGCUCCUGCUGCAUGGGGGGGGUUGGAAAGUUUCGGCGGAUGGGGAUGGACUCGCGGCUUAUCAGCUUGUUGGUGGGGUAGUGGCUUACCAAGGCUUUGACGGGUAGCCGGCCUGAGGGGGUGACCGGCCACAUUGGGACUGAGAUACGGCCCAGACUCCUACGGGAGGCAGCAGGGGGGAAUAUUGCACAAUGGGCGGAAGCCUGAUGCAGCAACGCCGCGUGCGGGAAGACGGCCUUCGGGUUGUAAACCGCUUUCGCCUUUGACGAAGCGUGAUUGACGGUAAUGGGUAAAGAAGCACCGGCUAACUACGUG